rnacentral:lncRNA from 1 species
GUAUUGGACUUGAUGAGCUGAACUCCCAGAUUAUGAAUCUGAUGGCAUUGGAUGAAUUGAUGGAUAAAACUGCGGAGCAGAUUGCUUUUGAAGGCAUUGCGUCUGCAAUCAUUCAAGGAAGGAACAAAGAAGGUGCUAGCUCGAGCGCUGCAAGAACAAUUGCUGCUGUUAAAACCAUGGCAAAUACAUUGAGCACAGGCAGGAAGGAGAGGAUUUCGACCGGGAUUUGGAAUGUGAACGAGAACCCUUUGACACUAGAGGAGAUUCUAGCC